CGGCCGCGACCCCAGAUCAGACGGACUA
rnacentral:rRNA from 1 species